rnacentral:rRNA from 1 species
AGAUUGAACGCUGGCGGUAGGCCUAACACAUGCAAGUCGAGCGGCAGCACGGGUACUUGUACCUGGUGGCGAGCGGCGGACGGGUGAGUAAUGCCUAGGAAUCUGCCUGAUAGUGGGGGAUAACGCUCGGAAACGGACGCUAAUACCGCAUACGUCCUACGGGAGAAAGCAGGGGACCUUCGGGCCUUGCGCUAUCAGAUGAGCCUAGGUCGGAUUAGCUAGUUGGUGGGGUAAUGGCUCACCAAGGCGACGAUCCGUAACUGGUCUGAGAGGAUGAUCAGUCACACUGGAACUGAGACACGGUCCAGACUCCGUACGGGAGCAGCAGGUGGGAAUAUUGGACAA